GCAUUAGCAUCUCCAAGUUAUUGUUGGACGAGUCAUUGAUAGCUUGAGUGGUUGCUUAUGACAUUUCAGCGACAACGAUCAGUAAUGUGAAGCAGCCUAUUGCAAAUGCUUCUCUUCUUGAGGCAAACCCAUUGAAUUAUGGUGCCGGGCACAUCUGGCCUAGCCGUGCAAUGGACCCAGGCCUGGUCUAUGACCUAACGACUAAAGAUUACGUGAAUUUUCUAUGCUCCAUUGGCUAUAAUUCAACCCAGUUGUCACUUUUUAUUGGUAAGCCAUACAUAUGCCCGUCGCAGAACAAUGGUCUGCUGGAUUUCAACUAUCCAUCCAUUACUGUCCCGAAUCUCUCAAGCAAUAAGACCACGUUGUCCCGAACCUUGAAGAACGUGGGGACUCCAAGCUUGUAUAGAGUUAAUAUCAGGGCACCUGGAGGCAUAUCUGUGAAGGUUGAGCCAAGAAGCUUGAAGUUCGAUAAGAUAAACGAAGAGAAAAUGUUCAAGGUCACUCUAGAGGCCAAGAAAGGGUUUAAGAGUAAUGACUAUGUGUUUGGAGAGAUAACCUGGUCUGAUGGGAAACACCAUGUGAGGAGUCCUGUUGUGGUGAAGAAGAUGGAAGUAGCAGCCUAAGGUUGAAGGACACUGACCAGGCGUCUGGAUUUGUAGGUGGAAGGCCAGCGUGUAGAGAUCUAUAUAUCUCCAUGGUCACCAAAUCGAUCUUCAAAUUCCCGUUCCAUGUCAUGACAAGUAUCGAAUGUCACCAAAUCGUGUCAUUUUUUUUAUGCCACUAAUCUAGUGAUUGAACUAAGAAAAUAAAAAUAAAAAUAAAUGGUUUUGUUUUAGAAUAUUUUGGAAUGGUUUUUGGUUUUUAUCUACUCUAUUGAUUUUGUUUAGUUGCUUUAGUAUUUUUGUUUUUCUAUUUUUAUGUUAUUUAUGGCUCUGUUUUUUACCUUUUGUUGUGUGACAACUGAUUAGGUUACUGUACAUUAAGUUUUUUGAGAGUGUAGGUAAUGCUUGGAAGCCUUGCUUGCCAUCUUUCAUUUAUUAACAAAAUCUUAUGAUAAAGACAUUCAAUUGUCAUAUCCCUCAAUUGGAGAACAAAAGGAUAUCCAUACAUUUUGUAGGUGUCAAAAAAUAUGAAAGAUCUAUUUAUGUUAUUUAUUUACCUUAGUUUUUUUUUAGGCUUAAUAAUUCUAUCUAGAAAAAUUAUUUCUAGUAUCUAAUUAAUAACAUAUUGCACUGCGAUUAAGCUAACAAUGAAUGAAUUCCCACAAAGAUUUAUCUACCUAUCGUGGCUUUUUUUUUCUUCUCUUUAGGGUUCAUAAUUUUACCCAAGAAAAUCACAUAUUGCAUUACAAUUAAGUUAAUGAUGAAUGAAUUCCUACAAAGACCUUUUACCGAAGAAUGUGACCAUCUUAAGAGGUAGUAUAACAUCAUAAUUUUCUAAAAUAUCUUAGGUGUUGUUUUUGAACAAGUAUAUCCAAUUCAAACAUAAUAGUAAUAUAUAUUAUUUGGAAAAUUCUACGUUCAAUUUGUUCUUUGUCACUUAACUUUUUUUAUUCUUAAUUUAAUCAUUUCACAUUAAAUUAAUUUAGGAUUGAGUUUAAUGUUUUAUUUCAGUUGGGCUCUAGCGAUAUUAAUAAUAAGUUUUGACGUUAAGUUGAAGAUUAAUUUGGUAAAAUAAAAUUUAAAUUUAUUGAUUCAAAUCAAUUAAAAUGUCAACGACUUAAUUUUAAACUGUAAAUACUCAGUCUUUUUUUCUUUAAAAAAUAAUAUUUUUAUUUCAACUUUCUAACUCAAUUUUUAAUUGAAACUAACAUAUAUAACGCAUGAAUACAUCAAACUACAGCAACAAAAGAGCAGUCUUUUGUUGUAGAGUAUGAACAUAAAAUUAAACAGUCUUCUCUAAUUUAGAGCAUAAAAUGAAAUCGAUGUGCUAAUAGCUAACCAUAAACAGACAUAUUGAGGAAUUAAACUGCUGGCAUGGUCAUACCCUCCUGUUGAUAUAAUUGGGUCAAAUGGAAUAUUUAUUUUAAGCAAAAGCAAGAAAAAAGUAGUCUAAAAUAUGAUAAAGUAGUAGUAGUUGUGUUAAGCAAAAAGGAAGAAAUGUUGUCUUAUCAUCCCACGUUUUUGCCUGCAUGGACCGACGGAUCGCCUGCGAGAAGAAUGCUUUUUUUUUUUUAAAGCAUUCUUCUCAUAGGCGAUCCGUCGGUCUAUGCUUGAACAUGUAAGAAAAGUAAACCUAAUGUAUUCUCAGAUCUUUUAUUAUUAUUAUUAUAAAGAAUAAGUUUGAACUCCAUCUUUUUCUAAAAGAAAGGAGAUACCAAUACUAUUACAAAGAAAAAAAAUGAUUGGGAUUUUGAAAUUACUGUAUACCUAGACAUAAUGUAUUGUAAACGGAACAAUAUAAUUAUGUUUUUGCCUUUAUAUAUAGAAAAAAAAAAAACAUUAGACUAGCUAUUGGGAGUAAUACUGAAUUUUUUCAUGGACCAUGUGUUCAUUAUUAUAUUUAUUAGGGACAAUGCAGUCUGUUUACAUUUUUAUAGAACAAUGUAAUGACUAGAAUAACCUUAAAAUCAAAAUAAUUUUAUCUGAAUUUAGAGAUUGACUUGUUUUUUCAUUUUUAUAUGUAUAAUGAGUCUACAUACUUAACCUUGGAUGCAAAUUUUAUUAAACUUGGGAUCGAGGGCUUCUUUGUAUUUUCAUCAUUAUUUUUUAGUUAUAAUAUGGUCAAGUUUGGGGUAACUUGGUAUUUUAGUAAGUGUAAGAAAUAUUUUUUUUUUAAAAAAUGAUUGACGUGUACAACACACACAUUAACGUGUUAGGCGGCAUAUGCGGAUUUAUAUGGUGUUAGAAAAUGGCCAUCCGUGACGGUUAACAAUCCUCUUGGCAUCCCUUUUCUGAUGAAGUGGCGGCGUGUGCAGCGGUGUGGCUCCUACCACUUUUUUUUUUCUUCUCACUUCUCCUUGAAAAACAAGUUACCCAAUCAAAAAUCUAUGUUUUCCUUUUAAUUUUUUUUUUUUAAGUUUAUGAUUUAGUUCCCUUUUGAUUAUCUUAUUUUCAUUUUGAUUUUUUUUGAAAACUUUAAAUUUUUUAUUUAUUUUGCCUUUAAUUUAAAUGUUAUUUUUAUUUCAUGUUUGAUUCUCUUUCUUUUGAUUUCUUAUUUAUGUAUUGAUUUUAUUUUUUUUGUAAAAUGUAAGAUUUUUUUCAAAUUCAGCCUAAAAUCAAACAAUGUUAUUUUUAUGCUUUGUCUGUUUUUGUUUAACAUUUGAUCUUUAUUAUUUUAUAUUGCUAUUUUAUUUUAUGGAACCUUUUGUCAAAUUAUUUUUUUUUCUUUCAAUUUCAUCCCUCAAUCUUGGGUUGGUUAGUUAGAAAUUGAGGGUCAUGGUUUUUUUCUAUUGAGUUACACCAGUUUCAUGACUCUGGUAAAAAAUUUAAAAGUUUGGGUCAACUUGGGUGGUGUCGACUUUUUUCCCCUCUUUUUACACUAAUUUCCUUUUAGUUUUACUCCUUUAAUACUUUAGAUUUGUGAAGUUAUUCGUGUUUUCUUCAAACUCAUUUUUAAAAUCUAACUAGAUUUAUUUCACUCCAUUAUCAUGGUCUCUUGACCUUGAUAGUAAGUUUUUCUAUUUACUUAGGGAUCGCUCUACGUUUUUCUUUUGGAGUUAUCUUUUUAAAAUUGAUUAUUUUUUUCUAGUUUAGUUGUUCAUUAUUUUUUUUUGCAUUUAGGCUCCGUUUGUUUGCAGGAAAGUGAAUUCCUUUUGGAAAGUGAAUUCCGGGAAAGUAUUUUCCGAUGUUUGGUAGUGUUAUGGAAAAUGAAUUGGAAAACACUUUCCAGUGUUUGGUUAUGUCAUGGAAAAUGAGCUGGAAAAUAACUUAUUAAUAUUUUAUUUUUUUCAAGUUUAUUAAAAUAAUGAGGAACAAAUCUUACAAAUUAAAAAGUUGAAUGAUAAUGAAAUUGAAAAAAAUAUAUAAUUUCAUAAAUUAUCUCAAAUAAAACAAAUAAUAAUCAAAAUAAUAGGGGUCAAAUCUAAAAAAUUAAAAAAAAAAUGAAAAAUGAAGAAAUUAAAAUAAUAAUAAUCAACAUUUCAUAAAUUAUUUCAAAUAAAAUAAGUAACAAUCAAAAGAAUGAGGAUCAAAUUUGAUAAAUAAAAAAUUUCAAUAAAAAAAUGAUAAGAAAAAAGCAAAUACAAUUAUAAAAAUAAGGACCAAAGUUAAUAUAAAAAUAAAAUUUUAAGAGAUGAAAUUGAAAAAUAAAUAUUCAAAACAAAAUAUAUAUAGUAAUCAAAAGUUUGAGGAUCAAAUUUGAUAUAAUCAGCAAAUAAUGGCAUUUCUAAAUUUUUCACAACUUCCGGAAAGUGUUUUCCCCUCAAAUUUUUCAGGAAAACACUUUCCUGAAAACCAAGCCAAAUUUUCCUUUUACUGGAAAGUGUUUUCCAUUGACCAACUUUCCUACUGGCAAAUAAACACAAGAAAGUUUGGAAAGUGCUUUCCCGGAAACCACUUUCCGGAAAACAAACACAGAUAAAAGGAAAACACUUUCCUGAAAACCAAGUCAAUUUUUUUUUUGACUAAAAUUGACUGGAAAGUGUUUUCCGUUGACCGGAAAGUGUUUUCCGUUGACUAGAAAGUGUUUUCCGCUGACCGGAAAUUGUUUUCCGUUGACCAACUUUUCUAAUGACAAACAAACACAAGAAAGUUUGGAAAAUGGUUUCCCGGAAACUACUUUCCGAGAAACAAACAAGUCCUUAGCUUCAUAAAUUUGGGAAAAUGAUGAUUUUUUAAAAUAAAAAAAAUACUUUUAUACAUAUAUAUGCAUUUAUAUUAUUUCUUAAAAAAGUGUUAAAAUUAGAACGACAAUUUAUAAUACUUCAAACAUGUUAUUGUUUCAUAGCUCAUCGAACUAGAUAUAUGUUAUAAUAUCUUAAUUACCAGCAUAGAUCAAUCUUAAUUAUAAUCCACCAUAAGUACAAUAACAUGAACAGGCCAUGAAUUAUGACACGGUGGUCUGCAACUGUAUCCUUCUGCUCUUUUGCUCUUCUUUUUCUCGACAAGUAAUUGUUGAGUGGGUCUUUGUAGCCAGAAACCAACACUUUCUUUUGGGUGUGUGUAUAUAUAUAUUUUAUACUAUACCGCAAGUCUUGGAGACAAUCUUCCACUUUAUUAGCCAUAUAUUUGUGGGUUCCAUAUAAAUUCAACAAGAUCAAUGGCAAUUAGGAUUAUGUUUUGUUAAUAGAUUAAAUAGAUAAUUUGAUUCACGUCAUUUGUCUCUCAAUAUUAGAAUUAAUUACUCGGUUGAUUCUGAAAUUUAAUGAUAACUUUACGGAGUUAAUCUAAUGGUUAAGAAAUCAUGCUUUUAUCUUUAUUUUUUCAGCUAAACAUUUGGAAUUAACAUUCUAAAAAAUCCAUUAAAUUUCUUUAAAUAUAUCGAAUCGAUGUAUUUUUUUUUAAAGAAAAACUUAGUUUUAAUACUGGACACGCUAAAAAAAUAGGGUUUAAAUACUAUGGUGCACAACUUUGAUAAAUGUCGUUAUGAAAAAGCUUAUGCUGUCCACCUUUUCGACAAGCAUGAUACUCCUUUAAUCUUCUUUUCUAAGUAAAACAGGACACCACAGUUCCAUUUAUUUUUCCUUUUUGCUCCAAAAGACAGCUUACAAAGCCCUCCUCUCAUCAAAAGAGGAAGUAAAGUAAGAAGAAAAGGGAGAAAACAACAAUAAUCCCGAUGAUAAAGGGCCUAGCUAGCUACAGUACUGUUCCGUUUUAGGUUCCAGUCUUCUAUCAGUUGUGAGAAAAAGAAAAUGAUUUGGUUAAUGUAUUGCGUACAGCAGAAAAGAGAGGAGAAAACAUCAACAAUAAAAAAAAAAAAAGCAAAACAUUCAAGAACAGUAAUGCGGUGUUAUCAUUGCACUAACUCGUAAUGUAAAUUAUAAUUAGACAGUGAAUCCAGGAUUAAAGAGAACAUGCGUUGGAUCUAUGAUGAGGAAAGAACAGAAAAUACCAAUGAAGGCCUUCGUCUAAAUAAAAUGGACAAUACACUGCAUGAAUCCACGGUGUUUUCACUCACAAAGCACAAUAAAUAACUUAGCUGAUUUAUUUAUUUAUUUAUUUUUUUUUUGUAACUGGGUGAUGUUUACGGUAAAAUAAACUGGAUUUCUUGUUUUUCCUUUGUUUUCACCUCUUUGCUGAGGGGAUGGAACUGUUGAAAGCUAAGCUAAUUACUUGUGAUUAAAGUCUUAGAAGAAGAUUACGUAGACCGAAGGAAGAAGGAUGAAAAAAUUGAAGAAAUUCUGUUAAAACAGUUAAAGAGUUAGUUAUAAUCGUUAUGGCAGUUAUAUCAGUUUUUACUGUUACAAAAACUGUUACAAAUCAUUCUUACAUGUGUAAGAAUCGUGACCCUCCAUUAAUGGAUGGAUGAGAUGAUCUUGAUUCCUAAAAUACCGGAAUCAGUUACAUACAAUGUAUAUAAAUGCAGAGUUUGCUGCAUUGAAAAAUAUAUAGAAAAUACACAAGAAUUUCUUCAUAAUCUUCUCUGCACAUUUAAGCAUAUUCUUCUUUUUAAAACCUUCAGAAAAUAAACAUGGUAUCAGAGCUUACAAACUGAUUCCAAAGGAGCGUAAACUGUGACAAACAGAUUGAUUAAACUAUUAUUUACUCAAAAAAUGGUAGGAUCAAGCUCUGUUGGAGGAGAUUUAAGAACUUCAUAGUUUAAUGGCACAAAUUAUGAUUUUUGGGCUGUAAAAAUGGAGACUAUCCUCAUAGCAUUCGAUCUAUGGGAAGUAAUAGAAGUUGGAAUCAAUUCUCAUCCAUCAUCUAAGGUUGCAACUGGAUCAUGCGAUGAAGAGAGUGAAGUUGAGCAAACUACAUUGCAUGCAUCCACGACAUCCAGAGAAGAAAAAAUCAAGAAUGCAAAGGCAUUAAGCCUUAUACAAGGAGCAUUAACAGAUGACCUCUUCCCACGAAUAAGAAAUGAAAAGACUGCAAAAGGAGCUUGGGACAUUUUGAGUAGAGAAUUCAGAGGAGAUAAAAAGGUUAGAGCUGUAAAACUUCAAGCAGUGAGAGCUGACUUUGAAUACCUGAGAAUGACAGAAAGUGAGAGCUUAGAUGGAUAUCUAGCUAAAUUCUUUGCAACUGUGAAUAACCUGAAAUCAUUAGGAGAAGAUGUAUCAGAAAACAGAAUUGUGCAGAAAUUGCUAAUGAGUCUAAGCAGAAGGUAUAAGUCCAUUAUGAGUCCCAUGUAUGAAGGUGUGGUAUGUAUCUAUCUAUUGUGAAAAAUAUGGUGAGACAAGGAAUUCUUUGUCUCUUAGCGGUGAAAAAUGGACCGGAAGUCGCCACCUAGUAUUCUGGUUGUUAGAAACCCUAACUGGUCUUUAGAGAUCAGGUAUGGAGACUAGUUGCGUAAAGGGAAGGUGUUAACACCCCAACUACUCCCUACCUAAGAUAGGCUGCAUUGUUUUGUCUAAUAAAAUCUAAGUCAUGUUGUGGUUUCUUAUUGUUCAGAAUAUGCAUUACGUGUAAUGUCAUACCCCAGGUUCUAUUGUCCGAAAAAAAGAAUUAAAUAUCCGGAAUACACAGUACGUGUAAUAUCAUGCCCCGAAUACUAAGAGAUAAACAAAAUAAAAUUUUUGUUUGUUUUUGAAAUUUUGGCCAAUGUUCACUUGACUUUAAUAAACUGGUUAUUAAAGCCAAAAUGCAUGCUAAACAUUGAUUUUUGGUGUAUAUAAAAAACACAAUAUGAUUUUUUAGCUUGGAGACACUUGGCCGUAUGCACAAAAAUAUUUUUUUCUUUUUUUUAAUUUUUUUUUGUAUUUUUGGAAGUUUUGACGAAAACCGGGUAUUUUAAUAUCGGAUUUUGUAUUUUUAGCAACAUAAAAACACUGCUUGAUGUUAAUCAAAAUGACAUAAAAAAAUACACGGGAAACUUGUAAAAUUACAAACAAAUAUUAUUUUGAAUUUUUUUUUAACAAAAAAAAAAAGAGGCCAGAUCUGGCCCAACCAUCCUGGGCUGGGCCUGACCCGGCCCAUAUAUUGUGGGCUGGACUCAACCCAGCCGUAUGGGCUGGGCUGGACUCAACCCAGCUGAUUUUCCAACCUGUAACCAAUGAAAGGGGUUGGUUACUGUACACAGCACAGUAACCAGUAAAAAAUAUAAUUAGAUAGUUACUGUGCACAGCACAGUAACUAGCUAAUUAAAUCUUCAUUUGCUGCAGAACGUAAACGUUUUGCAUGCAAAUGAAGCUGAAGCGAAAAACAGACAGGGGAGGGGAGAAAAUUACCUGGAGCGAUGGCGACGCUGGCGACAACGGAUGUGGCAGGGGUGGUGGUGUAGGCGGCGACUGUUCUCUUUCCUUGUCUCCUAUUUCCUCUGUUUCUCUUCUCAGCCACCCUCUCCUCUGCCUUUUUUUCAUUGUCUGCUCUUCUUCUCCUCUUUCCCUUUGUGGUUGUCAGUGGCGUUUCAGAUGGCAGUGUCAGCGGUGGUCAGGUGGUGUGUUGUGGCGGUGGAGAGGAAGCAUGAUGGCAGCUGCGGUUCUUCUUCUUCUCCGGUAUAAAUAUAUUCUUGUCACUUCCCUUUCUCUUCUCUGCCUCCUUUGCCGGUUUCCCUUUCCCUCCUCUGCCUUCCCCAAAUAUUCCCCUCCCUUUUUCUGUAAUACUUCCCUCAGGUGGUUCCAGCUUUCCCUUCUCUCCCCAGUCUUUCUCUCUUUCGGUCUCUUUAAUAAACUCUCAGUUCUUUCUCUUGGUUUCCCUUAAAAAUCAUUCCCAGCUUCCUCCCUUUUUCUCCUCUCUUUUCUCCCUUCUUUCGGCACUCCCUCCUCUGGUAUUUAUAGGCAGAGGAGGGGAGGGCCACCUUACCCUUGUCAUGGUGCAGGGUAAGGUGAGCCGAGGAGUUGUUCGCAGGGUAUGGUGCUUUCAGUGCGAAGGCGUGGUGGUGUCAGUGAAGGGACAAGUCGGGUCGUCGUUGGUUUUUUGGGUUUUGGGACAGAGAGAGAGGGGGAAAUAGAAAACAGGGGAAAAAUGCUUCUUCUUCCCUUGCUCUUUGCGUGUGCAGGGGAAGAAGAAAGCUUAUGGUGCCGUUCACAACGACACCGUUUGUCCUUUUUUUUUGGAAAUGCAUGAAACGACGCCGUUUUGACCAAAACGCGUUGUUUCAUUUAAAUGAAAACAGGUGCCAGAAUGCAUUCAAUUUCAGAUCAGCCCCUCAAUUUGCGCGCUUUUUCAUUGUAGUCCUUGGUUUUGAAUUUCUUCGAUUAAGUCCUUAAUUGGCCACUAGACUUCAAUAUGCAUGCAAUUAAGCCCCUGAUUUGACCCAAUCAACUCUAAAAAAUAUAAUUUGACCCCAGAACUUCAAUUUCUUCGAAUUAAAACCCCAAAUUGACUUUAAAAUCAAAUUUUCUUGCAAUCAAACCCUCCAAUAAUUCAAUUAAACUUUCAAUAAAAUUUAAUUGAGUCCAUAAACAUCUGAUUUUGUACUUUUCUUCCUCCAAUAAAAUUUCCUUAAUCAAAAAGGCUCUCACUGGUCAAUGAUAUACUGUCAAAUUUCGAUUCAUUGAUAUAUUUUUGAUAUAUUAUUAUUAUUAUUAUUAAUUAAUUAAUUAAUUUUUUUAAAAUAAUUGUUUUUCUUAUUUCUUAUACGGGGACCAAAAAAAGGGUUGCAACAGGAACCAUGUUCUAUGCUUGCCAUUCUACAAGUCUGCAAGAUAGAAAGGUAUGGUUUGUGGAUAGUGCUUACAGCAACCACAUGACCUCUCAAGAAUCCGAACUAAUCAACAUCGAUAGAAUAGUAACCUGCACUAAAUCACCUCGUUUGAUCCCACAGCUUCACCCCUCGACUUGAUUUCGAAUAUGGUGAAGAUGAGUCAAGGGAUCCUCCUCUAGCAUUGGAUGCUUUGCGAUGUUGAUUUCGAUGGCUUACACAUGCUGUCUGCUCAUAAUUUCUUAUAUUCGUUUCAACAAUAAGAUUACGCCGAGUAAUCUCCAUCCCUCGAAAUCAUAGUAUUGCCCGAGUCAAAAAGCAUGAUUGAUUACCGAGCAAUACUAUCUCGACCACUGCAAAACACACUCUUGAAUUCCUGAAAAGCAGCAUGUCCUCGUGUAGGGCAUUACUACAUGCAUGAAAGUAUUAAGAAACCGGGAUCUUUGAGUAGAUCUUUCAAGUGGGAUAGGACCCACUUAAAAAAAUAGCAAGGCAAAAUUGAGGCCCAUGUGUAAGCAUACAAGGACAUCCAUUAAAGCCCAUGAGUAAAUCUUUCACUAAUUUUUAUUUAUCAAUUUUCCCAUAAAUUAUCUUGAUUUUCCAGUUCCCGUUAAAAUUAUUUAAUGAAAAACGUUAAGUACUUGUAAAAUGAUGCUAUUUUUUUAAUAGAAAAAAAGUGCAAUUUAGAAUAUAUUUUUUAAUAAAAACAUAAUUGAAAAGCCUUAAAGAUGAAUGCAAGUCGUUAACAAAACAAGUAGUUUUUAAAGUUUAAGAGUAAAAUCAGUAUGCAAAAUUAUGUAAUGACAAAAUUAAGACUAUUGAGAGUGUUUCUGAGACUUCGGCUUUUCUUCUUUGAAGCUUCGACGUAAGUGCUUUGGAGGGUGAGAGAAAUGGAGGAGAGAAGGGUUGACUAGCUGUAAACCAAUUAUUGACCCAGAGGGGUUCCUUUUUGAGGUCACCAAAUUUCCACGAAAGAGAUGAAAUCACCUAUAAGCCCAAGCUCAAAGGUUACAGAAUGUAAAAAAAGGCAAGCUAAUCGUUGUUCUCUUAUUGAGCAAAAAGCAAAGCAAACAUGGGCAGGAGGACAGCUUCUUGCUCUCUGUUUCUGUUUUUCACUCUUUUCACAACCUUGCAGAGUCCAAUUCUGGCUGCAAAAAAGGCAAGCUAGCAUGCAUUAAUGUUGUCUGAUCGUUUAGUCUUUCAAGUUACAUUUGCAAUCUCUCUUAUGUUAUAAUUCUGCUACUGACAGUGAUACCCGUGUCUGUGUACGUGCAGUCUUAUGUGGUUUACCUUGGGAGACAUUCUUAUGCUUCUGAACCUUCCACCACUGACCUGGAUAGGGUACCCGAUGCCCAUCAUGAACUUUUGGGUUCUUGUAUGAAGAGGUGAUGCAGUCCUGAAUAUUUCUGCUGUGUGAUCAGUGCUGUAUUUGGUUGUUCUAAUACUGAUGAUUAAGUUUGAACUCGUUAUUGUUGAAUAAACUCAAUCUAGAAGCACCUAGAUAGUCAAGGAAGGCAACCACCCACCAGCCGCAGCCGCCAGCCGCCAGCCGCCUUCACACCGCCGGUCAACAGCCGCCUUCACACCUGGAACAGUAGAUUUUCGUAUUCUGUUUUUUGUCUAUAAAUAGAGUGCCCAGCUUGUGUUUAUUUGAGUGGAGAGAAUAGAGAGAAACACUUGAAAGAGAAAGAGAGAAAGAGGGUGUGUUUAAGCUUUUGUUUUAAUUAAUUGUAAGCUUCGGAUUUUGUAAUAAAACCAGUGUGUUUUAUCCCCUCUGAGUGUUUCAAAGCCACCACCAGUGGUUCCUCCCACCAACAAUUGGUAUCAGAGCCCCGUUCGUCGGAAAACAGAAGAGUUUUGGGGUAUAUCCGAAUUUUCAAAGUUGUCAAAAACAAGUUUUGAUCAUUCCACAGUGUAGAGCUCAUCAAGACGAACUCACGCCGCAAAAAUCAGCCUCAUCGGAGUCCGGGUAGCCACACGCGCCGUCUGAAUAUUCACCAGAUCGCCCACGCGCAUCCCACGCGCCCGAGGUUGAAGACGACUGAGCCACACACGCGCCAUAUUGAGCCGUGUAAGCCGCCUAAGCCGAGUCCAGCCGAGCCACAAGCCGAGCCGUACCCGAGCCGAGCCGAGCCGAAGGAAUAUUCCCAGAAUAUUCCCGAAUAUUCCCCAGCAUAUUCCCAAGAAUAUUCCCCGAAUAUUCCACAGAAUAUUCCCGGUUCAACCCAGCGAACCGCCCGCCGUACAGAAUUGGUUUUUGACCGGUUCACCCAUUUUUGACCCGAUUUCAACAAAGUCAGACCGGUUCCCGACUAUUUGGACCAUUCCGGAUCGAUCUACAGUGUCCGUUUGGUCAAAUUCGGCUCCCAGAAGGCGAUAUAGUCAUUAAAAGAGCAAAAUGACUACAGAAGGUACACAUACACUCAUCCCGAAGCUGACCAAAGACAACUAUGAUAGUUGGUGCAUCAGAUUGAAGGCAUUUCUUGGGUCACAAGAGUGUUUGAUAUUGUACAAACUGGUUAUGAUGAACCAGAGUCCAAAGAAAGAGAAGAUGCUUUACAAGAGGCACAGAAGCAAGCCUAAAGUCAACAGAAAGAAGGACAACAAGCAAAGACCAUCAUCUAUCAAGGUCUUGAUGAAGAUACAUUCGAGAUAAUAGCUUCCGCUGAAACGUCACAUGAUAUAUGGGAGGCUCUCCAACAGAAAUACAAAGGUGCUGACAGAAUCAAGAAGAUUCGUCUUCAAUCUUUGAGAGGAGAAUUCGAAUUAUUACGAAUGAAGUCCUCAGAAUCUAUUUCUGAUUAUCAUACAAGGAUUAUGGUGAUAGUCAAUCAGAUGAGAGAAAUGGAGAAGCCUCAUGAUACUCGAAUUAUUGAGAAAAUUUUGAGAUCCAUAGAUCCAAAAUUUGAUCAUGUUGUUGUCGCAAUUGAAGAGUCCAAGGAAGUGGACAAGUUGACAGUGGAUGAGCUUAUGAGUUCUUUGCAAGCUCAUGAGCAGAAGAUUGUAAUGCGAAAUGAAGAUAAGGCCAUUGAGCAUGCCUUACAAGCAAAGCUGUCUUUCAAGGACAGAUAUGAGCAAGGGGAGACUUCAUCAAGUGGCUACACCACUCAAGGAGGAAGUCAACAAUCCAGAGGAGGAUUCAGAGAUUCCAAGGAAGAGGGAUCUUGGAAUACAAGCUUCAGAGGAAGAGGUGGCAGAAACACCACCAGAGGAGGCCGAGGACAACAAGCAUUCACUCCUAGAGGAAGAGGAGGCGGUUACAAUAACCGUGACAAGAGAAAUAUCAAAUGUUAUAGCUGCAAUCAAUUUGGGCACUAUAGCACUGAAUGCCGAUGGAAAGCUCCGUUGGAGACACGUGAGCAAGCCAACUAUGUAGAGAAGCAUGAUGGAGAAGCAUCUGCAUUUCUUGUCCAACAAGGACAUGGCGAGAAACAAGAGGAGAUAUGGUAUCUAGAUACUGGAGCCAGCAAUCACAUGUGCGGCUACCGAGAGUUAUUUGGUGAUCUAGAUGAGACCAAGCAAGGUCUAGUUACUUUUGGAGAUACCACAAAGGUUCCAUUCAAAGGUAAAGGCAACAUCCCAGUCAAGUUGAAGAAUGGCGAUUCCAGCUACAUCGCCGAUGUGUAUUAUGUCCCAGCCAUAAAGCAGAACCUGAUCAGCUUAGGCCAACUUUUGGAGAGAGGAUAUAGUUUUUACUCGAAGAAUUGUCAUCUGACAAUUAGAGACAACAAUGGGAGAUUAAUGGCCUACGUGAAAAUGUCCAAGAAUAGGAUGUUUCCUUUGAACAUCCAGUAUGAUGACAAGGUGUUUGAGUGCCAUCACCAACAGUGAAGAAUGGCUUUGGCACCUGAGGCUUGGACAUCUGAAUUUCACGAGUAUGAAGAUGCUAGCAAGCAAGAAGAUGGUCAAAGGUUUGCCUCACAUUGAUCAUCCAGAUGAAGUCUGUGAGAGUUGUGUCCUCAGCAAACAUCACAGAUCCAGUUUUGCCAAAGAAGUCAACUGGAGAGCAAAGAGGCCACUGGAGUUAGUACACACAGAUGUGUGUGGCCCAAUUACGCCUAUGUCGACUGGACAAAAUAGGUACUUCCUCACUUUUACUGAUGAUUUUAGUAGAAAGACGUGGAUAUACUUUCUGAAGAGGAAGUCAGAAGUAUUCAAUUGUUUUAAAGAUUUUAAAGCAAUUGUGGAGAAGCAAACUGGUUACACGAUCAGAACCGUAAGAUCUGAUCAAGGUGGAGAAUAUACAGCAAAUGACUUUGAAGCCUAUUGUACACAACAAGGCAUCAGACAUCAGACGACGCCAGCUUAUACACCACAGCUGAACGGUGUAGCAGAAAGGAAGAAUCGCACGAUUCUUGACAUGGCCAGAAGUUGCUCAAAGCAAAGAAGUUGCCCAAGCAAUACUGGGCUGAAGCUGUAUCAUGUGCAGUGUAUCUACUGAAUCGCUGCCCAACCAGAAGUUUGCAAGGAGUCACUCCAGAAGAAGCAUGGAGUGGUCACAAACCAAGUGUUACUCAUCUACGAGUCUUUGGUUGUGUGGCAUAUGCAAAGAUCCCAGAUGCAAGAAGGAGAAAGCUCGAUGAUAAGAGCGAGAAAUGCAUCUUUGUCGGAUAUGGUGAAAGAAGGAUGGGAUACAGGCUGUAUAAUCCCAUCACGAAGAAGGUGAUUACGAGUAGAGAUGUUAUCUUUGAAGAAGAUAAAUCUUGGGCAUGGAAUGAUCAAGAAGCAAUCAAAUGGAUCAAUCUGAUUUGAUCCUUGAAGGUGAAGAAGUACCAACAGUACUUGUCAGAACCGAUUGUGCCAGCCUGAACCACAAAGUCCUUGUGCCAGCAGCUGAACCACAAAGUCCGGCACACAGUUUCCCUGUAUUCAACAGGAGGAACACACCAGGAGCAUCAUCAUCAACACCACCAGCAUCCUCAUCAGAAGGACCAAGAAGGAUGCGGAAUCUUGAAGAGUUGUACGAUACCACUCAGGUUAUGGAAGAUACAACUCUAUUUUGUUUCUUUGCAGAUAGUGACCCACUAAGCUUCGAUGAAGCUAUCACAGAAGAGAAGUGGAUAGAAGCAAUGGAUGAAGAAGUACAUGCCAUUAAGAAGAAUGAUACCUGGAAGCUGACUUAUCUACCAGAAAACAAGAAAGCAAUAGGUGUCAAAUGGGUCUACAAGACGAAGAAGAAUGCCAAAGGAGAAGUGCAAAGAUACAAAGCCAGAUUAGUGGCUAAAGGCUACAAACAGAGAGAAGGCAUUGACUAUGGAGAAGUAUUUGCUCCAGUAGCCCGGCUAGAGACAAUCAGACUGAUGAUCUCACUAGCUGCACAACAUAGAUGGAAGAUCUAUCAACUCGAUGUGAAGUCAGCAUUUCUGAAUGGCUUCCUAGAAGAAGAAAUCUAUGUUGAACAACCACUUGGAUACAUUGAUGCUGAAAAUGAAGGCAAAGUAUACAAGUUGAAGAAGGCUCUCUAUGGUUUGAAGCAAGCUCCGCGUGCUUGGAAUACCAGAAUUGACAGGUAUUUUCAAGAUAAUGGAUUUGAAAAAUGUCCAUAUGAACACGCAAUGUAUGUGAAGAAAGGAGCAGAUGGCAGCAUCUUAUUUGCGUGCCUGUAUGUUGAUGAUUUGAUAUUCACCGGCAACAACCCUACCAUGUUUGACGACUUCAAACGAAGCAUGGUACAGGAGUUUGAAAUGACUGACAUUGGUCUAAUGUCACAUUUUCUUGGCUUAGAAGUAACGCAGAAGGAAGAAGGGAUUUUUGUAUCCCAAAGCGGUUACGCCAAAGAUAUUCUUGAAAGGUUCAAGAUGGAAAGCUGCAAUCCGGUAUCAACUCCAGUUGAGAAUGGAGUGGAAUUGAGGAAGAGUAAGGUUGGAAAUGUUGAUCCAACUUACUUCAAAAGCUUAGUAGGAAGCUUAAGGUACUUGACAUGUACCAGACCGGAUAUACUCUACGGAGUCGGACUCGUCAGCAGAUACAUGGAGACACCAGACCAGUCUCAUUUGAAUGCAGCCAAGAGAAUUCUUCGCUACAUCAAAGGCACAAUGAAUGAAGGUAUGUUUUAUACCUCAAGUAAAGACUUUAAUCUUGUAGGCUACUCGGAUAGUGAUUGGGGUAGAGAUCUGGAUGAAAGGAAAAGCACAACAGGGUUUGUCUUUUUCAUGGGAGACACAUCUUUCACAUGGUCAUCCAAGAAGCAAUCGAUUGUCACAUUAUCAAGCUGUGAAGCUGAGUAUGUUGCUGCCAACUCAGCCGUAUGCCAUUCAAUAUGGUUAAGGAAUAUGCUGAAGUUUUUGGGAUUUCCUCAAGAAAGUCCUACGGAGAUUUAUAUUGACAAUCGAUCAGCAAUCGCAUUAGCAAAGAAUCCAGUGUAUCAUGAGAGGAGCAAACACAUUGAUACACGUCAUCACUUUAUCCGGGAACAUGUGAAGAAUGAAGAAGUCCAACUGAUAUCUUGCAACACAAAUGAUCAAGUUGCUGACAUCUUCACAAAGCCAUUGAAAGGAGAAGUAUUCAUCCGAUUAAAGUUCAUGCUUGGCAUGACAUCCCUCGAUUGAGUUUAAAGGGGAGAUUUGUUGAAUAAACUCAAUCUAGAAGCACCUAGAUAGUCAAGGAAGGCAACCACCCACCAGCCGCAGCCGCCAGCCACCAGCCAGCCGCCAGCCGCCAGCCGCCUUCACACCGCCGGUCAACAGCCGCCUUCACACCUGGAACAGUAGAUUUUCGUAUUCUGUUUUUUGUCUAUAAAUAGAGUGCCCAGCUUGUGUUUAUUUGAGUGGAGAGAAUAGAGAGAAACACUUGAAAGAGAAAGAGAGAAAGAGGGUGUGUUUAAGCUUUUGUUUUAAUUAAUUGUAAGCUUCGGAUUUUGUAAUAAAACCAGUGUGUUUUAUCCCCUCUGAGUGUUUCAAAGCCACCACCAGUGGUUCCUCCCACCAACAGUUAUGACAGCAAGGAGAAGGCGAAACAAGCCAUCUUUUACUCCUACACUCGCUAUAUCAACGGUUUUGCAGCAGUACUUGAAGAAGAAGAAGCAGCUGAAAUUUCAAGUAUUUAUAAUACUAUUAAAAUUGUUCAGCUUGUAUAUCGUGCAAUCCUUGGUACUAUUACAAUUAUGGUCUUGUUAAUACGUUUUCAGAGCAUCCAGAAGUUGUAUCAGUUUCUCGAAACCAAAUAAGUCAAUUACACACAACAAAUUCAUGGGGCUUUCUUGGACUGGAAAGAAAUGGAGAAAUUCCAGCUGAUUCUAUGUGGCUAAAGGCAAGAUUUGGCGAAGACGUAAUUAUCGGGACCCUUGAUACUGGUAAUUAUAAUUUUACUUGUCUGUGUACAUGCAUAGAACUGGUCAAGUCUCCUUCAUAUCAUUUCAUCUUCUUAAUUUAAAUGUUUCUUGCAUUCAAUUAUUUUGGACCAGGUACAGCUACAUUGCAUCUUAAAGAAAAAUCUCCAAUGAUGGUAAAUUUUUGAUCUAUUUUUCUUGACUGUGCGUGACGCUAGGUGUUUGGCCGGAAUCCGAAAGCUUCAAUGAUGAAGGGAUGGGGCCUGUUCCAUCUAAAUGGAAAGGAUACUGCGAUCCAAAUGAUGGGAUUAAAUGCAACAGGUACUUUAAUUUCUUUCUCAAGGCCAGAGCUCUUUUCUUGACCUGAACUACUCAUUUUGCCUCUGAUAAUGAACCGCGGACAAAUUCUUCCGUUUCCUAUAGUAAGAUUAGUAACAUAAAAGACAUGUUGUUAUUAGCAGGAAACUUAUAGGAGCAAGGUACUUUAGCAAAGGCCACGAAGCUGCAGAAACACAUGAUUCUUCAAACCACACCGCGCGAGAUUAUGAUGGCCAUGGAACCCACACUCUAUCCACUGCUGGAGGUCGUUUUGUUUCGGGGGCAAACUUGCUUGGUUCAGCUUAUGGAACAGCUAAGGGAGGUUCGCCCAGCUCGCGAGUCGCUUCAUACAAGGUCUGCUGGCCCCGCUGUAGCGAUGCUGAUGUGUUGGCUGGCUAUGAAGCUGCUAUUCAUGAUGGGGUCGAUAUCCUCUCAGUGUCACUUGGAUCCGGUCCGAGAGAAUACAUUACUCAUGGGAAUGCAAUUGGAGCAUUUCUUGCUAUGGAGCGCGGGAUUCUUGUGGUUGCCUCGGCUGGAAAUGAAGGACCUGACCCUGGAGUCGUAGGGAAUGUAGCUCCCUGGAUUCUUACAGUUGCUUGUAGCACUAUCAGUAGGGAGUUCACAUCUAAUGUCAUCCUCGGAAAUAACAAACAAUACAAGGUUCGUUCUGUAAGCUCAUAUCUUUAGCAAGUCCUUGUAAAUUGUUCUACCUAUCAUGGGAUCCAAGAAUUUGCUAUAUUAAUUUCUAGAUAAUCAGGGUAUGAGUUUUAAUACCAACACUCAACCAGCUGGGAAGUUUUACCCCUUGAUCAAUUCGGUGGAUGCUAAAGCUGCCAAUGUUUCCAGUAAUCAAGCGUAAGCAGCAAACUAAUUUUGUUCUCAGCCAAAAUUACAUUUUCUGUAGUUGUUAGGUUCAUAUUUCUUAUCUUGUUGUCUUUGGCAGAAAAUAUUGCUCCAUCGGAUCCCUUGACCCCUUGAAAGUUAAAGGAAAAAUCGUAUAUUGUACUCGCAAAAGAUCCUGAUGUAGAAAAGAGUCUGGUUGUUUCUCAAGCUGGUGGUGUUGGGGUGAUACUUGCUAAUCAAUUGAUAAUUCAACAAAUCCGACCUCGGGCACACUUUGUUCCUACUUCCGUUGUCUCUGCAGACGAUGGACUUUCCAUUUUAACUUAUGUCUAUAGUACAAAGUAAGGUCUAUGUAAUAGAUAAUUCAGACAAUUAAACUUUGUUGAUUUCAGUCGAUAAUGCCCUGAACAAUCUAUCGUUUGUGAUCCUGUGAAUCUCUUGGAACUUCUCUUUUCACUCAGGUCACCUGUAGCUUACAUAAGUGGCGCCACGAAGGUGGGAACAGUGGCUGCACCUGUCAUGGCUGAUUUUUCAUCUCCUGGGCCUAACUUCAUCACCCCAGAGAUCCUUAAGGUACGUACUCUUAAUAGCUUCACAUGAGCGUUUUAAAAUACAUGAUCAAUAUUAUUUUUAUAGUGAGAGUGCAUAUGUGAUGAUUUCAGCCCGACAUCACUGCACCUGGAGUCAAUAUUCUAGCUGCCUUCACCGGAGCAUCAGGGCCAACUGCUGUGCCAGGAGACCGGCGCCGAGUACAUUUCAACUUUUUAUCUGGAACCUCAAUGGCAUGCCCCCAUGUUUCCGGAAUCGCUGGUCUUCUCAAAACUAUUCACCCUGAUUGGAGUCCUGCUGCAAUUAAAUCUGCAAUCAUGACAACAGGUUAGUGCUUUUCUGCUCUUCGCAUUAGCAUCUCCAAGUGCUUCUCUUCUGAUAGCUUGAGUGGUUGCUUAUGACAUUUCAGCGACAACGAUCAGUAAUGUGAAGCAGCCUAUCGCGAAUGCUUCUCUUCUUGAGGCAACCCCAUUGAAUUAUGGUGCCGGGCACAUAUGGCCUAGCCGUGCAAUGGACCCAGGCCUGGUCUAUGACCUAACGACUAAAGAUUACGUGAAUUUUCUAUGCUCCAUUGGCUAUAACUCAACCCAGUUGUCACUUUUUAUUGGUAAGCCAUACAUAUGCCCGUCGCAGAACAAUGGUCUGCUGGAUUUCAACUAUCCAUCCAUUACUGUCCCGAAUCUCUCAAGCAAUAAGACCACGUUGUCCCGAACCUUGAAGAACGUGGGGACUCCAAGCUUGUAUAGAGUUAAUAUCAGGGCACCUGGAGGCAUAUCUGUGAAGGUUGAGCCAAGAAGCUUGAAGUUCGAUAAGAUAAACGAAGAGAAAAUGUUCAAGGUCACUCUAGAGGCCAAGAAAGGGUUUAAGAGUAAUGACUAUGUGUUUGGAGAGAUAACCUGGUCUGAUGGGAAACACCAUGUGAGGAGUCCUGUUGUGGUGAAGAAGAUGGAAGUAGCAGCCUAAGGUUGAAGGACACUGACCAGGCGUCUGGAUUUGUAGGUGGAAGGCCAGCGUGUAGAGAUCUAUAUAUCUCCAUGGUCACCAAAUCGAUCUUCAAAUUCCCGUUCCAUGUCAUGACAAGUAUCGAAUGUCACCAAAUCGUGUCAUUUUUUUUAUGCCACUAAUCUAGUGAUUGAACUAAGAAAAUAAAAAUAAAAAUAAAUGGUUUUGUUUUAGAAUA
rnacentral:lncRNA from 1 species